AGGAGUUUCUUUCCACAGUGGAAGGGAGAAUAAUGAGAAGAAGGAUGCAGAAGAGAGGGGAAAGUUGAAAGUAGCUGAUAUGGGACCACAGAAUAUUGGCCAAUCAAUUGUAAUGACUAUACUUAUACCUAAACAAGUAAUAAAUAAAUGCAUUUGGCUUCCUUACCUUGAGUAUUGAAUCAACAUUUGAAAACAAAGUAAUCAACCUUUGGCAAUUUGUCCUUCAGAGAGAGAAAAACUCCCUUAGAAACCCAUAUUAAAAGAAACGUGCACAUGUAUCCCAGAACUUAAAGUAAAAUAAAAAAUAAAAGAAAAGAAAAGAAACAUGGGGAAAAAGGAGCAAGAGGAAGUUGAGAAGAAAAUUCAAGAAGGUGGUGCUACAAGGGCUUCUCAAUUUUGUACUUUUUCCUUUCAACAUUUUCUCUCCUGGACCCAAGAAACAUCAAAGGACUUUGUAUUCUCCAGUGAAUGAAGGAUAAAAAUUAGACAUGGAGACACUUGGUUUGGCAGAGCAGGUGACAAGCCUGAAGACCGUGAGUUAAGAUCAUAGAGCCACAGACCAGAAGCAGCCUGCAUCCCUGAAUCCCAGUACGGAAUAAAGUGUCACCUGAACUGCUUCAGACUUUGUGGGAAUGAGAAACAAACCUUCCUUUUACAUGGAAUCAUAGCAAUUGAUCUUUGGAACCCUGGUGAUCUCUGCGGUUGGCGUUAUAACUGUUUGAAGGCUUCCACCAUGUGGGGUGGCUGAGAACUGUUGUCCUGCAGCUGAGCCAGCACAGUUACACACUUUUGGUCCUUCCAUCUGAGCUGCUACACAGAGAGCAGGUUUUGGAGCAGGUUCUUACAACAUGAAGCCAUCAUGACUGAAGCUUGAUGCUCCAAACACAGACACAUUCUCACUUCCACAAAUGUUUAAGUAAAAAGAGAAUGUGCUGAAGGAGGAAAUUAUUGUCUUUUUGUUUCCUUCCUUUCAUUUUCUUUUCUUGAAAAAACACACCUCGUAUGGUGUUUUGACUUACAGAAAAUGAAAAACAAAGAUUAAUUCUGAAACUGCUAAUUGUGUAAAAAGCACGGAUUUUCAAAGAAACUAAAUGUUCUUUUAUUAGCAUGGAAAAACUUUUGAAGAGAAAGUAUCAACCAUUUUCCUUCGAAUAUUUUCCCCUAAUAAAACAGAUAUUUGGACAAGAUUCAUCAAAAUAUGUCUUUCCACCCCCAAAAUAUGUGUAUCUAUUAUGUAUCAA
ensembl:lncRNA novel transcript